rnacentral:rRNA from 1 species
CUGGCGGCGUGCUUACCCUUUGCUAAUCGAAGACCUACUUUCGACGUGGUUUUGCGGACGGGUGAGUAACGCGUGAGGAAUCUGCCUUCUCGCCGCGCCUUACCCCCGGGAAACUGCGGCUAAUACCCCAUAUGCCGCCCGGUGUAAAAAUUGUAAUGCACCGGGCCAGGGGCCGUACCUCCGAUUGGCUUGAAGGGGGGGCAAGAGUUUCCCAAGGGACACCAUUCGUUUGCUGUGUCUUACAGGAUGAACCGCCCCCCUGGGACUGAAAACACGGCCCAAACUCCUCCGGGGGGCACCAGUGGGGAAUUUUCCGACAUGGGCCAAAACCUGAUCCAACACUUCCCCCUGUGUGAGAAAAAGGCUUUUGGGUUGUGAACUCCUUUUCUCAGGAAAGAACAUAAUGACGGUAACCUGAAGAAACGGCCUCGGUUAAUUUCGUGCCAACAGCCGCGGUAUUCCAGAGGAGGUAAGCGUAAUCCGAAAUUAUGGGACGUAAAGCGUUCGUAGGCGGCCUUGUAAGU